GACAGAGGGGGCAAGCGUUGCUCGGAAUCACUGGGCGUAAAGGGCGCGUAGGCGGGAUGGCAAGUCGGUCGUGAAAUCCUUCGGCUCAACCGAAGAACGUCGGCCGAUACUGCCGUUCUGAGGAUGCAGAGGAGAUUGGAAUUCCCGGUGUAGCGGUGAAAUGUGUAGAGAUCGGGAGGAACGACCGGUGGCGAAGGCGGG
rnacentral:rRNA from 1 species